rnacentral:rRNA from 1 species
AACGAACGCUGGCGGCAUGCCUAACACAUGCAAGUCGAACGAGACCUUCGGGUCUAGUGGCGCACGGGUGCGUCACGCGUGGGAACCUGCCCUUAGGUUCGGAAUAACUCCCCGAAAGGGGUGCUAAUACCGGAUAAUGUCUUCGGACCAAAGAUUUAUCGCCUUUGGAUGGGCCCGCGUUGGAUUAGCUAGUUGGUAGGGUAAAAGCCUACCAAGGCGACGAUCCAUAGCUGGUCUGAGAGGAUGAUCAGCCACACUGGGACUGAGACACGGCCCAGACUCCUACGGGAAGCAGCAGUGGGGAAUAUUGGACAAUGGGCGAAAGCCUGAUCCAGCAAUGCCGCGUGAGUGAUGAAGGCCGUAGGGUUGUAAAGCUCUUUUACCCGGGAUGAUAAUGACAGUACCGGGAGAAUAAGCUCCGGCUAACUCCGUG